ensembl:lncRNA
CCCCACUGGAUUCUCAUGUAAUCAAUAUUACCUGGGUGACUGUACUUGUAAUCUUAUUGGUUGGUCAUGGGUUUGUCCCACCUCAUGCCCACCUUGUAAAUUUCCAUUGGAUCUUAUAGUUUUGUCCCACUUUGUACCCACCUGCCCACAUGGCUUUGCUGUAUAAAACAUUUUCAAAUAGUGGGGUGGGCGGGCAACCCACUUUCAUGUCCCCCUUCUGUCUCUCUUAGGCAGAAACUUUCAAUAAAUUUUUCCUACUCUUAACCUCUGUUGUUCCUAGAAUUUAUUCUUCGAUUUCACAGAACACAAACUUGCGUUUCAGAGUAGGUUUGGGAGCUACAUCUCUUCCCCCUAUAUCACUAAUUCUUGGAAAUCAUGAAUGUUUCCAUAUGUGGCAAAGGCAUUUGUGGUAAAGGCAUUUGUGGUGAAGUUAACCAUCUUGAAAUGGGAGGUGAUGGUGAAUAUUCAGGUGGGCCCUAAAUGCAAUCACAGGUAACCAUUUAAAUGGAAAGCAGGUGAGAUUUGCCACAGACAGCAGUGGAGAAGAAACUGUGACUAUGGAGGAGGAGCUUAGACUGAUGCAGCAUAGAGCAAGGAAGCAGAAGCUGGAAUUAGCAAGGAAGGGCUUCCUCAGAGGCUUCAGAGAACACAGCAUCGCCAGUGCCUUGAUCCCUGCCCAGUGACAGUGGUUUCGGACUUCUGACUUCCAGAAUUAAUUAAUUGAGUACAGUCCCGACUCUUAACAGGAAAUACUAGAGAUCCUGAUCGCAGUAAAGGUUGAGGAUUGGGAAGAAGGAGGAGGAAGAAUGGGACAUGAGAGUCUAAACUGAUGAGCUGGUGUCAUGCCCCCGCGUGGCAGCUACCCAAAUACUUCGCCUGUCACAGGCAGCUUUCUAAGGAGCCUCACUGUAGGGAACCUUCCACCGGCAGUUCCUUGAUGCAGGAGAUGUUUUUCUUGCUGAGAUUUUGGACUUCUCUAAGGUCUUCCCUGGUGGUCACUGCUAGCCUUCCUGGUGUAGCUGGUUCUUCUGAAGGCAAUGCUCUGGCCUGCCCUUUGUGUCUAGGUGCCUUCUCCCACUCCAUCAGGGCCAGGCGACUUCUUCAGGGAAAUGAGGUUCAGUGACACCUUAGUUUUAGGGAAAGAUGGUGAGGUUCUCCCGAGACCUCCCUGCUCUGUGCUCUACUCUAGGCCUAUGGUGGGGCUCAAGUUGCUGUGGGUGCUUCAACAUAUCCAUUCUUCAGGAAUAUGCACAGUGUCAGUAUAUCAGGAUUACUGAAACAACCUAAGUAGCUCUCAAUAGGAGAAUAGCUAAUUGUAAACCCACUUUAUGGUUAUAAUACAAUAGAUAAAAUAUUGACCUAAUAGAUAAAAUAUUGGGCCUAACUAUUUUUGUGGAUUUACAAAAUAUGUUGUAUGUG